rnacentral:rRNA from 1 species
UACGUAGGGUCCGAGCGUUGUCCGGAAUUAUUGGGCGUAAAGAGCGUGUAGGCGGCCAAACAGGUCCGUUGUGAAAACUGGAGGCUCAACCUCCAGACGUCGACGGAAACCGUGUGGCUAGAGUCCGGAAGAGGAGAGUGGAAUUCCUGGUGUAGCGGUGAAAUGCGUAGAUAUCGAGAGGAACACCUGCGGCGAAGGCGGGUAGCUGGGCCGACACUGACGCUGAGACGCGAAAGCGUGGGGAGCGAACAGG